AAGGGGAAAACAUUGGUACCUUCAGGCCAAGUAAUUUUAAAAAUCAUAUCGUCACAGUGACAGUCCAAUCAAUUAAGCCAUCCAGAAGUAUUAUCUAUCCAAUUUGUUCCAAAUUUUCAAAACACUGAUCUAAUCACCACAUCACGUCACGAUGGACGACAAGAUGGACACUAAAGACGCCAAUGCGAAGCUACUUGUCGAAACUUCAGUAGAAAUCAAAGAGUUGCCUUGGGAGAUGAAAAAUUUCACAAAGAUUGCCACCCUUAAAGAUUCCUUUACAAAUUUGAGUCACUCCCUCGAUGCCGGACAAAGUAUUGGACU